rnacentral:tRNA from 1 species
GGGAAUGUAUGCAAGAGGCUAAAGCGGACAAACAAAGACAGUUGCCUUAAUGAUACGCGCGUGAUAUUAAGGUUCGUGGGUUCGAUUCCCACCAUUUCCA